rfam:Aedes aegypti strain Liverpool supercont1.350 genomic scaffold, whole genome shotgun sequence.
UGCCCAGCAACUCCUAUCCCUACCUCCUCGCGGUACUGGCCGGAGUACGAGUAACCUUAGAGAAGAUCUGGUAACCAACCCCCGGUGGGGACUUUGGUCGUAUGCUGACUGGGAAGG